rnacentral:misc_RNA from 1 species
GAAUUCCAAAAUCAGGUUCCCAUUGAGGUCAAAGGUCCAAUAAAAACCAUUUUCAAGACCAUCCCCUUUCGCUCACAUUUCACAAAUAAAAUACCGAACAUCAGUUUCUCAUUUGUCAACACCAUUAUAGCUUGGCAACAAAGCAAAACAUAUCUUGAAGUCUUUAACAGGAGAAGAAAAGGGAAGAUUUUUGGAAGAAAUCAUGAAGCUCGUUUGGUCCCCUGAAACUGCUUUGAAGGCCUAUAUAGAAACGGUUAAAUCGUGUGAGCUUUUUCAUGAUUCCAGUGUGGCUGAGCUUGUUUCGGCCAUGGCUGCAGGAUGGAACUCGAAACUUAUCGUAGAAACGUGGUCACAAGGUGGAGUUAUUGCCACAAGCAUUGGCUUAGCAAUUGCUAGUCGUUACACAGUUGGAAGACACGUUUGUAUAGUCCCUGAUGUGCAGUCAAGAUCGAAAUACGCAGAAGCCAUGGGAAAGGCUGGGAUGUCGCCAGAAACCCUUGUUGGGGAACCGGAGGAGGUUAUGGAGAGGCUAGUAGGCAUUGAUUUCUUGGUGGUGGAUUCGCGGCCGAAGGAGUUUGCUAGGGUCUUGAGGCUAGCAAAGCUCAGCAACCGGGGUGCAGUUCUGCUGUGCAAGAACGCUAGCUUAAGAGCUUCAACUUUCAGAUGGAGAGGAGUACUUGAAGGAGGAUCACGGCGGCUGGUCAGGUCUGUGUUUCUGCCUGUAGGGAAGGGACUUGAUAUUGCACAUGUGGCUACAAGUGGGGGAAAUUCAGGGUUAAACAAGAAAAGAUGGAUCAAGCACAUAGAUGCACAAUCUGGGGAAGAACAUGUCAUCCGAAAGUAAUUUCUCAUAGGAGAUGAUGAACUUCUUUCUAAAUUCUAGCUGCUUUUUUCCAGAGAAUUUUAAUUUGUAAAUAUUUUUUCUUCUGCUUCCCCUCAUUGCCUCUCCUUUUGGCUUGGAAAGGUUUCUGUUCAUAGAUAAGAAUCCCAAAACAUUUGUAUAUAUUUUCAUCUUGUAAUUCUCAUGUGUGAAGUUUAAAAUUCUCGAAU